UACGUAGGGCGCAAGCGUUUGUCCGGAAUGAUUGGGCGUAAAGGGCUCGUAGGCGGUUUGUCGCGUCGGGAGUGAAAACCUCGGGCUUAACUCGGGGCUUGCUUUCGAUACGGGCAGACUAGAGGUAUGCAGGGGAGAACGGAAUUCCUGGUGUAGCGGUGAAAUGCGCAGAUAUCAGGAGGAACACCGGUGGCGAAGGCGGUUCUCUGGGCAUGAUCUGACGCUGAGGAGCGAAAGUGUGGGGAGCGAACAGG
rnacentral:rRNA from 1 species